rnacentral:misc_RNA from 1 species
CAAGUGACCCCGGUCUAACCACCGGGAUGUUCAUAACCCUUUGUUGUCCGACUCUGUUGCCUCCGGGGCGACCCUGCCUUCGGGCGGGGCUCCGGUGGACACUUCAAACUCUUGCGUAACUUUGCAGUCUGAGUAAACUUAAUUAAUAAAUU